UCCUUUCUGACAAAUGAACAAUCUGAAUUUCAAAGGGGUUGGGUAGUUUGCUCAUGUCACAGUUAGCACAUGGCAGGACUGGAAUUUAGACCCAGAACUGGUUGCAAUAAAAGCUGACAUUCUUUGCGCUUUAUCUCACUGUCUCCUGUAAUUGCAUAAGAUUUGUAACACAAGGACACAGUCAGCUUAAUUUCAUUUUUAUAGAUUUAAACCAGGGGUUAGCAAAUUAUGGUCUGUGGGUCAAAUCCAGUCCAACACCUGGUUUUUGUAAAUACAGUCUUACCGGAGUAUGGCCAUCCUGUCUGUUGACAUUUGUCUAAGGCUGCUUCGGUGCUGCAAUGGCAGAGUUGAGUAGUUGAGACAGGCACCAAAUAGCCUGAGAAACAUGAAAUAUUUACUAUCUGGCCUUUUGCAGUUUUUGCUGAUUUAAACAAUUCCAAGCAGACUCCUUUUUAUCCUUAAUCUUUUGAAUAAGGUAACAAACUCAUCAUUUGAAGAUUUAUCAUUUCUGACUAUGCCUGUCUGUGAGCUCUCCCAAGCAUCCAGGGUUUUGUGCAGGGAAGUCCAUUAGUGGAGUGUACGUGGCCUUGGGUAGAUGUGUGCUUGAGUACUGGUUCUGCCACUAAUUAUCUCCAUGGCUUUUGAGAAAGUGCUUAAUCUGCUUAAAUCUAUUUGUUCUCAUUUAUUCACUCACUAAUUCAAAAAUAUUUAUUGAGUACCUCCUACAUGCCAGACAGUAUUCUGUGUGUUGAGGACAUAGCAGUGAGCAGAACAGCAAAAUCCCUGUCCUGGUGGAGCUGGCAUUCCACCAGGUGGAGGCAGAUUCUAAGAAAAGAAGUAAGUAUUUAUAGCAUGAAGGUGACAAGUGUCACGAAGAAAAAUGCAGCAAAAAAGGGAACAGGAUAUUUCACGGUAGGGAAAGAGGGCAAAGAGAGGCUGCAAUUUAAAAGGCUACCCUCAAUGAGCAGGUGAUGUUUGAGUAAAGACUAAAGUAGUGAAAAAUCUAUAAGAAAGAACAUUCUAGGUUGAGGUGAGAGAAAGCACAAGACCCCAAGGCAGAAGCAUGUCCAACAUAUUGAAGAAACAGCAAGUUGGCCAGAGGGACUGGAUUGGGAUUAAUGAAGUGGCAGAGUAGGUGAGGGGGUCCAAGAAGUUCUGGGAUCCCUUAUCUCUGAGGUUUUGACUUUAAAGGUAAAGACUGUGGCUUUUACUUUUAAUGUGAUGGAAAGCCAGUGGGAUUUUUUUGAGGAACAGAUACCAUUACUUGAUAUACAUUCUAAAUGGUCCAUCUGGAUUCUGUGUUAGGAAGAGACUGCAGGCGGGAGAGUGACCGAGGUGGCAGUGGGGCGCCCGGCGGGAGGUGACAACAGUGACCUGGAGGGGGUACGGUGGCGGCUCUGCCAGACGGUCGUGGUGAGCUGGUGAGGUGUGCUUGGCUUCUGGAAGUAUUUUGAAGGUGGGUCCAACAAGAUUUCUCAACAGACUGGGUAUAGGGUGUGAGAAAAAUUAAAGGUUUUGGUCCACAUACCUGGCAGGAUGGGGUUCUCCUUACCUGAGAUGGGAAGACAGCGGUUGAAGCAGGUUGGGGGGGAAGAUCAGGAGUUUGAUGUUGGAUGUGCUGAGUCUGAGAGGGCCAGUACAGAAGUGGGGAUAUUAAACAGGCACCUGGAUGUAUGAAUGGAAUAGUUGAAGUCAGUGUUACGGAGGGGAUGCUCUUCUUGGUAAUGACAGGCCCAGGGCAUGACCCCAGGAGUGAGUGGCUGAGGAAAGGUGGAGGACAGGAGUGCAACAACCCAAAAAGCAGAAUAUUGGCAAGAUCUUCCAUGUGGAUAUUUAACCACCAGGAAUUUUGAUAAGACUACUGUUGGAGAAAGGGGCAGUGAGCCAGAACAAAAAUCUUGGGGAACUGAGGGGAAUGAAACUGGGCGGGGUGUCAGCAGACAUCUGCCACAGGCGGGGCAGCGGGUGGGAGCAGUGCAAAGACUGGAGAUACACCCCUGGGGGUGUAGGGUUUGGGGAGAAGAAAGGUCUGGAGUGGCAGUGAGGAGCAGAGGGUGGCUACCCCAUCUCCAGCCUAGUGGCCUAAGGGUGUGAGGAAGAAAAUGGCCAUCACUCAGAAGGGCUACAGGACAAGUGGUGUCCUUGGGUUUUCGUCAGAGCACGGGGGAAGGAAAUGGUCGUGGAGGAGGCCGAGGAUAGCAGAGAUUUUGCCUAGGGCUGGGUAUGUCAUCUGGCAGGGGCAAUAGGGGAUUCCAGAAACGGGGUUGGCAGACAUGGGUCAGUAAAGAGGAUGAUGUGCAGAUGCCUCAGAGCCCAGAGCUUCCUGCAGUGGCUCAUGUAGCAGGGGUAGGGGACCAGAAGGUCGCCAGAGCGUGAGUAGCUGGCAGAGGGAGGGUGGGGUGUCUUGCCAGAGCAUGCCAAGUUCUGGGGUUCCCUCUUGGCUCCAGCUAACGGAAGUGCCAAGGCUGAGGGAAUGAGCCUGCCUUCUGUGUUUGGAGCUCCCUCCUAACUCCUGCCAUCAGGGGCAUGGAGGGAGGCCACAGCAAGGCACAGCAAGAACGCAGGCUCGCUUGGGGAAAAGCAGCUUGCUGGAAGGUCGUCCUGGGCUCUGAGGCCUCCCUGGACAGUAGCAAUGGGAGUUCACGACUCUUAUGUUCAGUUUCUGCUGCUAAGACUUGGUAACCAACAUUCAGAUUCUCUUGCUCUCAGCUCAGAUUUGGGAUUUAGACUUGCUCAGCUGACAGAAUCAGGUGAUACCAAUGUGUCUUCUGGGAGCCACCUCUCUGGAUUGUGGGGAGAAGAUGGGGAGUUCAGAGUCAUCUCUAUACAGGUUUGGGUAUCUAGAUAGAAAAUAACAUCAGCUUCUGGGACAUUAUAUUUUGGCAGUUUUAGCAGGGAUUGUGAAAGCCCCAUGGUAACAAAGUUCUGGACAUAAAGUUAAAUAGAGCCUGUGGAUCUUUGAUAGGAGCGUCUGGCGGGCGUGCGCGCACACAGACGUUUCCCGGGGGCGCACCGAGGGCCCCGCGCCCCCGCCGCCACCGCAGGUGAAGGCGGCUGCGCCCGGCGUGUUCCCUACCCGCGCGUGCGAACGGCGCCCAUGCGCGUCUGUGCCCCAGGGCACCACCCACCUGGGCUUCGAGAGCGCAGCUGCGAUCAGAGUGUUUAGAGACGAGGAUCUACUGGCUGAUUACUGCAGUAAAAAGAAGCCCCAGCUGAACAGACACUUCUCCAAAGAAGAAAUUCAGAUGGCCAACAGACACAUGUAAAGAUGCUCCACAUUGCUAGUCAUCAGAGAAAUGCAAAUUAAAACCACAAUGAGAUAUCACCUCACACCAGUAAGGAUGGCCACCAUCCACAAGACAGACAACACCAAAUGUUGGCGAGGCUGUGGAGAAAGGGGAACCCUCCUACAGUGCUGAUGGGAAUGUAAAUUAGUUCAACUAUUGUGGAAAGCAGUAUGGAGGUUCCUCAAAAAGCUCAAAAUACAAAUACCAUUGACCGAGGAAUCCCACUUCUAAGAAUUUACCUUAAGAAUGCAGCAGCCCAAUUUGAAAAAGACAGAUGCACCCCUAUGUUUAUUGCAGCACUAUUUACAAUAGCCAAGAAAUGGAAGCAACCUAAGUGUCCAUCAGUAGACAAAUGGAUAAAGAAGAGGUGGUACAUAUACACAAUGAAGUAUUAUUCAGCCACAAGAAGAAAACAAACCCUACCAUUUGCAACAACAUAGAUGGAGCUAGAGGGUAUUAUGCUCAGUGAAAUAAGCCAGGUGGAGAAAGACAAGUACCAAAUGAUUUCACUCAUCUGUGGAGUAUAACAACAAAGCAAAACAGAAGGAACAAAA